AAAACAAACCGCGCAUUGAGAGUCACUAUUUCUGUAAUCUAAAGUUUCUUAAGCGGAUGUUUAAUUUUAUUAAAAAGAAAUCUAGUUUCAUUUUGGAUGCGAUGUAACAUUGUUUGGGACCUCUGAAAUUCAACCUUGGCGCUCGACUACAAAAAUGGUGGAAUAUUAAUUGACAGAUUUAGAAUCUACUUGUUGAAAUCUAAUUUAAAGAAAAGUACCUAUAUAGCAAAUACAUUGGCGCCUGCCCAGAUGAUAAACGCACUGGACAAUGAUAGAAUUUCAUUACACAAACCUGAUUAAUAAACUGAUAACAUUAAUCAAUAUUCGGGGCUUAUUUGAGCCUUUUGGCAGUCAUUGAAGUGCCCUAUAAAGUUUAGCUUGGUUUUAUAUCCAUACUUUUCAAUGAUGAUUUUCUUUUGGAAUUUUGUAUUUUUGGUGGCAGUUGGAGAAAAAGACGCCGACCCUGAUGUUCCUAGCAUGUUUAGCACUCCUGUACUAUUUGAAAAAUCAGGAGCUGACGAUCUGGACAUUUCAAGAAACAUAUUCAACGCAUCUAUAAUGACUAUCGUCAUUUGCUUCAUAAUAAUAAUGACAUUUACUUUCAUUGUUAAAAUACAGUGAUGACGCAUAUCUAAUAAAUAAAACAAAACAUA